GCAGAUUUUGAGAGAUGCAAAGGCUUUGAAGUAUUCCUCAUGAAAGAGUAUUAAAAGGACGGUGAAACAACAACAAUGAAAAUCUCCAAAGGGUUGGCCAAGAAGGGAGAAUGAUUUGGUUAAUCCUUUCCCCUGGACACAUGUUCCCUAAUGUUCCCCUGCAGCCUGAUGGGAAUCUUCAUGAAAACAUUAUGAAAGACUCAAAAAGAAACUCAAGACACUGUGAUCAAGAGAACACAGACUGUUUAAGUUCAACCACAGACCAUAUGAUUAGUUGAUAUGCUACCAAGUAUCACUAAUAUGUUAUUUUGUUAUUAACAAGAAAUGUUAUAUAACAAGAAACAUGUUAUUUUGAAAUGGAGGGUGCCAGGAUUAUCUUUGCCACUCUUGUACUUACCUAACAAAGAGUGAAUGACCAAAAGAAUGUUUAUGAAUGACUAAAUGAAUGAAUGUUAAUAUUAGUAGCUAACCACAGAGCCCACCCUAAUGUAUCAGUCAGAGAUUAUGGUGAAAGAAAGGAAUGGUUACAAAAGCAGUAUCCAAGAAUCUGGCAUUGUCACUAGAGUACAUAUCUGGCUAAAGAAGGAACAAAUCAUAGUACUUGUCAUGUCUAGUACUUCUAACAAAUUGAGAGAAAACCCCAUGAUUCCAUGAAGAUCAAAAACUGGUGCUGAAAGAUUCUAGAUAAAAGCAUCACUGCUUCAUAGAAACUAAACAAACAAAUCCUGG
rnacentral:lncRNA from 1 species